rnacentral:lncRNA from 1 species
UCUGGCAUUAGGAGUCAAAGGGAUUGAAUUAUAUAGUAACCAUAGUUCAGGGUUCCAGAAUAUUUGCUUCGCAUAUAUUCGGCCUAUCCGGACGUCGGGUACCAUUGCUAGAUGGUCACAUCGAUUAGUGUAGGAAGUCGUUUCUAUACUACCGGCUUAGGUUCGAACCUAUGAGGUCACACGCAUAGAAGAUUCCUGAUUGAUCAAGAAGGCUGAUGAAUGAUUAAGAAUCAUUCAAGGGUAAUUUGGUCAAUUCGAUUGGUAAAUUAUCUUAUAAAAUAAUUAAACUAAUUAUCAGAGGAUUAACUAGUAAUUAGAUUGCUAAUGAACUCAAUUGGAUUGAGUAAUUAGACUAAGGAUGAGCCAAAUUGAAUUAGAUUCAAUUCUGGGCUCAAUCAGGGUUUUUGACCUAAUUGGAUUAGGUCUGAAUUAAAAGGACUUAGGUUGACCAAAUUAAAUUAGAUUAAAUUUGUGCUUAAUUAGGGGUUGACCUAAUUGGAUUAGGUUCAACUCAUGAUAAUUGGAUCAUUCUAAUUGUUAGUAUUUAAUUAAAUUAAAUGGGUUUGAUCUGAAACUGUUCGGAUCUUGAAAUCCACUUGUCACAUAUCCAUGCAUGGCGCCAUAAAUAAAUUUUUAAUAUGAUUAAAAAUUAAUUUAAUUUAUUUAAUGGUGCCAUGGGACACUUGGCAACAUCAGGGACCUCUUUUAUCAUUAGAUGGGUCGAAAUGGAGAGAUAAAUUCAUGAAAAGAAUUGGAUAAGAUCAAAUUCUCUCUCUUCAUGGCAUAUGUUAUCCUUAUCUUUAUCUCACUUCUAAUUAAGGUUGAAUUUCGAAUUUAAUCACCACAAAAUCAUCACGUGACCCUCUAAUCUGAUUGGUGGCAUGGGAAUUUCGAAAUUGAAAGAGGGAAGUGGCAACAUGAUGAAUGAUUUAGAUUAGAUCAAGCUUCAUUAUGUAAUGGCACAUGAACUUAAAUUUUGAAUUCAAAAUUCAAAACCCCACAAAAUCCUCCAUAAAUAUGGGAUGGUUGGCAUUAAGUUAGAGGGGAUAGCAACAUUAAAAGGACCUCCAUCAGCUGGUGGUCGAGUUCAAGGAAAAAAGAGAGAAAAAGAAGAAGAAAAAAGGGAAAAGAAAAGGGAGGAAUCCUAGUUCAUGCAUGGAAAAAUUCUGCAUUCAAUCUAGCCGACUUCUUCCUUCUCUAGGUCCAUCGCACCAUUAGUGUUAGGCGUCCCUGAUAAGAAUCUUUAGAUCAGAUCUAAGUCCUCUUCAAUCCCUCCAAACCUUUCCUCCAAGUUCUUCCAAGAAGGCGGUUCAAAAGUUGAUAGCGUUGGGAAGAUCAAAUUUCAGCCUCAAGAAAUUCUGCGCAAGCUAGCACUUCCGCAGGAUUGGAUCUCUUCAGGAACUUCGCAUGUACUUCUCAUAGAGGCCAUUCGUGUGUAUGGCUGCCAAGUCAAGGAUCAGAUCCACAACUUUCAUCCAUCAUAAAAGGUAUUAAUCUAGCAUUAAUCAUUUAUUAUGGUGUCAAGAUCUAGGUCCGAUUCUCCGAGGUUUUACCCUCUUUUAGGGCUCCUCACAGAGAUAUCUCCAAAAUUCAUUCGAUGGAUAUUUGGAGAUUAAUUGGAAUAGAGUUCUUAAGUUUCAGAUCUGAUAGUUAAUCAUGCAAGAAAGUUUUAGUAUAAUUGUUUAAACGAUUUCGGCAUAAUCCUAUGUGUUCUUAAGGUGCUGAUUUCUAGAUUUGAUCUUGUAAGCAUUCAUGAAUUAAAUUGUUUGAUUUGAUUUUUUCGUUGCAUUUUUGAAACUUAAAAAGAAUUACGUAUGGCUUGAUCCCCCUUAUGAAGGGGUACGUAGGCAACCCGAUCAGGUUCAGCCAUGAUUUAAAAAAAAAUAGCAUGCUUAACACCAAAAAACCUAGAAUUCACUUUCAAUGGUAUCAGCGCCAAUUCAUGUUUAAACUUUUAUGUUUUAAUUUUUGCAAUUAAAUCUGAAAUUAUGAGCAUGCUUAGAUUAGAUCUAAAGUAUUUUUAUGAUUAAUUUAAUUGCUGAUUAUGCAUGAUUAACUAGAUCUGAAAUUUUGAAUGCAUAUGAUGCAUGUUUGUGUUAAGAUUUGUAAAAUAAAUAAAUCUGAAAUCAUAAUAUUGUUUAGAUUAGAUCUAAAUAAAAUUUAUGAUUCAAAUGAUCUCUGAUUUUAAUAAACAAAUCAGAUCUGAAAAUAAAAGUAAAAAAACAGAUACAUAAGAUGUAUGUUGUUUGUAUUAAUUCAUGUUGUUAUGUAUAUGUGAUGCAUGAACAUAAAAUAUAAUGACUUAAACAUGAAUUAAAUCUGAUUACAUAUGAUUAAUUACAAAAACUCAGAUCUGAAAAUAUAUUUUAAGAACUAAAAGAUUGUAAUUAAUAUGUAAUUAAAAAAAAUAUGCAAUGAUCAAAACUUUCAUAAGUCUAAACUUAAUUGAGAAUUAAGUGUUAUGAAAUAGAAUUGUAACUCAAUUAAUUGACAUUGCAUAAUUCUUUGGGCAUAUGGGUUAGCUUGAAUCAAGUUCCUAGGAUUGGGUUCGACCUAAGGUUAGAAUCAUACAUGGAUAAAUAGAAUUAAUUUAUCAAAUCUAAUUGUAGUAAUUAGAUUAGGUCAAGAAAAUUCUAGGUCAAUUUACAAUAGUUGCAGAUGGAUCAAGUCCAUGUCUUUGAUUAGACCAAGAUGGAACUUGAUUUAGGCUCAGAGGUGUAGCCCAAAUUAUUUGAGUAAUCAAAUCAAAAUUGAUUAACCAGUCGGUGUCUAAGGUAAGUUUGGCAGUUUUGACCGGUGGUUUUUAAUUGGGAGCUACUCGCACUGAUUCAUCUUUGUCGAGUUAAUGGCAUAUCCCUUCCACCGAUCUCACUUACCUGGCCGACAUGGUCAAUCACAUUUUGAUUGGAUCACUUAAUAAUUCGAGUUAGCCCAUGCCUAUAAGAAAAAUCAGUUGGACUGAUUUAGGUGCCUCCUUAACCGAUUUGAGUCUAAUCUGAUUUGGUGAAGUCAGUGGGAGAAAUUAGACUAACCGGAUCUUCUCAUCUAUCCUAAUUAUGAAAUCCUCUAAAAUUAUUAGGUCCUUAAAAUAAAAUGGUUAUGGGGAUAACUAGGUCAUAGCCUCCCAUUAAGUUGGGUGAUAAUAGGUCC